CCUACGGGAGGCAGCAGUGAGGAAUAUUGGUCAAUGGGAGCGAUCCUGAACCAGCAAAGCCGCGUGAGGGAAGACGGCCCUAUGGUUUGUAAACCUCUUUUUGCGGAGAACAAAACCCGGCACGUCUCCCGGACUGCGUGUCUCCGAAGAAAAAGCAUCGCCUAACUCCGUGCCAGCAGCCGCGGUAAUACGGAGGAUGCGAGCGUUAUCCGGAUUUAUUGGGUUUAAAGGGUGCGUAGGGGGUACGUGAAGGCAGCGGUAAAAUUGCGGGGCUAAACCCCGUCGGGCCGUUGAAACUGGCAGACGUGAGUUGGCGAGAAGCACGCGGAAUGCGCGGUGUAGCGGUGAAAUGCAUAGAUAUAGCGCAGAACUCCGAUUGCGAAGGCAGAGUACCGGAGCCAGACUGACGCUGAGGCACGAAAGCGUGGGGAUCGAACAGGAUUAGAUACCCGAGUAGUC
rnacentral:rRNA from 1 species